rnacentral:rRNA from 1 species
UAGGGAAUCUUCCGCAAUGGGCGAAAGCUUGACGGAGCAACGCCGCGUGAGUGAUGAAGGUCUUCGGAUCGUAAAACUCUGUUAUUAGGGAAGAACAAAUGUGUAAGUAACUAUGCACGUCUUGACGGUACCUAAUCAGAAAGCCACGGCUAACUACGUGCCCGCAGCUGCGGUAAUACGUAGGCGGCAAGCGUUAUCCGGAAUUAUUGGGCGUAAAGCGCGCGUAGGCGGUUAUUUAAGUAUGAUGGGAAAGCCCACGGCACAAGCGUGGAGGGUAAUUGGAAACGGGAAAACUUGCGUGCAGAAGAGGAAAGUGGAGUUCCAUGUGUAGCGGUGAAAUGCGCAGAGAUAUGGAGGAACGCCGGUGGCGAAGGCGACUUUCUGGUCUGUAACGGACGCUGAUGUGCGAAAGCGUGGGGAUCAAACAGG